AACCUAUCACUCUCAAAGAAUGGGUAAAAAGAAUUCAAGCUAGGGGAGCCUACACUCUCUAACUACCUAUACUACGCCCCCAUUGAUUGGAAACCCUCGGGGAAAAUGAUCCCAUAAACAAAGGAAUUAUACAAUACGAAAUAGCAAAAAAAACAGACUAAUUCGAUUCUAAAAAUUCGAUAAAAGAUAUUUUAUUCUGCUCAAAUUGUCCCGACAAGGAGAGAUAUUCAAUAUUUGAAUCAGAUUGGAUUUCGUAGUAUACCAAUGUGAGCCAAACUAUUACUAUUUCAUCUAACUUGAAUAACCAAGGACUGAAUUUGACUAUGGAUUCUGAUAACUCGAGAAGUUUUUAUUUGGUUAUGAUCCAAAAAUAAAAAAAGAAAGGUUUAACAAGCCAUGAGAAAAUAGAGUAAAGUAACCAUACGUUCUGUUUGCAUAACGUGUAUACGCCACGCCAUACAAUCGAAAUAGAAACAUGGGACGAUUCUAGAAUUUUGAAUAGAUACGUGGGGAUGAGAGAAGUUGUUGUUGAGAAAUAUGAAAUUGGAAAGGAAGUCAAACUCCCUAUGGAACCUGUGAUCGGUUGUACCUG
rnacentral:lncRNA from 1 species